rnacentral:misc_RNA from 1 species
GAGUUUGACAUCACAAUGGUUAGACAGUGACUUCAGGCAAUGAAUGAUUGAGUUGAAUCCAAGUAGUAUUUCAUCAUCUGACACAUUAUCCAUAUAACUACAAAAAUUCUUUUGAUUUAACUCUCAAAAUACAUGUAAAUUAAAGUAUUGCCUUGUAUUUAUAUGAAUGUUCAAAAAUUUGUACGUUACAUUUUCUACAUGUAUAAUUUAAAUAUUGAAAAAGUAAUUCCCUUUCCUUCAAGGAAUGCUCCCCUGAGCAUAAAAUUCUUUUCCAUGACAUGUUAUAAAUAAAUGUAAUUUUAAUUCAAGUUGUGAAUUCUAGAGAGUUAAUUUAUUUGGUGCUACACAGCAGUGCUAUCUGUGACAGCUGACUUCAUUAUAAUUACACAUUAGAUUAUUACAUACGGUAGUUUAUCAUUCUAUAGACAUGAAGCACACAAAAAAAAAUCACUCAUCUUUUUUACUUCUUUUUAAAAAAUAGAAGAAUGUUCGAUGUGUUCUUAUUCAUUUAAUGUAAUUCAUCCAAGGUUGAUUUUUAGUUGAAUGUUUAUAGCCAGUAAUGAAUUUCAUUGGUCUCACUCGUGUUAUGAGAGUUGGAACAAGUAAUAUAGUGUACUUGUACAAAGUAGAAAUGGCUGCUGUAAUAGUGCAUUGUGAGUCAGUUGUCUUUACAAAUACAAAUAAAACCAUAAAAUAUC